GGGCGUUAAGUUGCAGGGUAUAGACCCGAAACCCGGUGAUCUAGCCAUGGGCAGGUUGAAGGUUGGGUAACACUAACUGGAGGACCGAACCGACUAAUGUUGAAAAAUUAGCGGAUGACCUGUGGCUGGGGGUGAAAGGCCAAUCAAACCGGGAGAUAGCUGGUUCUCCCCGAAAGCUAUUUAGGUAGCGCCUCGUGAAUUCAUCUCCGGGGGUAGAGCACUGUUUCGGCUAGGGGGCCAUCCCGGCUUACCAACCCGAUGCAAACUGCGAAUACCGGAGAAUGUUAUCACGGGAGACACACGGCGGGUGCUAACGUCCGUCGUGAAGAGGGAAACAACCCAGACCGCCAGCUAAGGUCCCAAAGUCAUGGUUAAGUGGGAAACGAUGUGGGAAGGCCCAGACAGCCAGGAUGUUGGCUUAGAAGCAGCCAUCAUUUAAAGAAAGCGUAAUAGCUCACUGGUCGAGUCGGCCUGCGCGGAAGAUGUAACGGGGCUAAACCAUGCACCGAAGCUGCGGCAGCGACACUAUGUGUUGUUGGGUAGGGGAGCGUUCUGUAAGCCUGUGAAGGUGUGCUGUGAGGCAUGCUGGAGGUAUCAGAAGUGCGAAUGCUGACAUAAGUAACGAUAAAGCGGGUGAAAAGCCCGCUCGCCGGAAGACCAAGGGUUCCUGUCCAACGUUAAUCGGGGCAGGGUGAGUCGACCCCUAAGGCGAGGCCGAAAGGCGUAGUCGAUGGGAAACGGGUUAAUAUUCCCGUACUUGGUGUUACUGCGAAGGGGGGACGGAGAAGGCUAUGUUGGCCGGGCGACGGUUGUCCCGGUUUAAGCGUGUAGGUGUGUGUUCCAGGUAAAUCCGGUUCACUUUAACACUGAGGCGUGAUGACGAGGCACUACGGUGCUGAAGCAACAAAUGCCCUGCUUCCAGGAAAAGCCUCUAAGCAUCAGGUAACAUCAAAUCGUACCCCAAACCGACACAGGUGGUCAGGUAGAGAAUACCAAGGCGCUUGAGAGAACUCGGGUGAAGGAACUAGGCAAAAUGGUGCCGUAACUUCGGGAGAAGGCACGCUGACACGUAGGUGAAGUGAUUUACUCAUGGAGCUGAAGUCAGUCGAAGAUACCAGCUGGCUGCAACUGUUUAUUAAAAACACAGCACUGUGCAAACACGAAAGUGGACGUAUACGGUGUGACGCCUGCCCGGUGCCGGAAGGUUAAUUGAUGGGGUCAGCGCAAGCGAAGCUCCUGAUCGAAGCCCCGGUAAACGGCGGCCGUAACUAUAACGGUCCUAAGGUAGCGAAAUUCCUUGUCGGGUAAGUUCCGACCUGCACGAAUGGCGUAAUGAUGGCCAGGCUGUCUCCACCCGAGACUCAGUGAAAUUGAACUCGCUGUGAAGAUGCAGUGUACCCGCGGCAAGACGGAAAGACCCCGUGAACCUUUACUAUAGCUUGACACUGAACAUUGAGCCUUGAUGUGUAGGAUAGGUGGGAGGCUUUGAAGUGUGGACGCCAGUCUGCAUGGAGCCGACCUUGAAAUACCACCCUUUAAUGUUUGAUGUUCUAACGUGGACCCGUGAUCCGGGUUGCGGACAGUGUCUGGUGGGUAGUUUGACUGGGGCGGUCUCCUCCUAAAGAGUAACGGAGGAGCACGAAGGUUGGCUAAUCCUGGUCGGACAUCAGGAGGUUAGUGCAAUGGCAUAAGCCAGCUUGACUGCGAGCGUGACGGCGCGAGCAGGUGCGAAAGCAGGUCAUAGUGAUCCGGUGGUUCUGAAUGGAAGGGCCAUCGCUCAACGGAUAAAAGGUACUCCGGGGAUAACAGGCUGAUACCGCCCAAGAGUUCAUAUCGACGGCGGUGUUUGGCACCUCGAUGUCGGCUCAUCACAUCCUGGGGCUGAAGUAGGUCCCAAGGGUAUGGCUGUUCGCCAUUUAAAGUGGUACGCGAGCUGGGUUUAGAACGUCGUGAGACAGUUCGGUCCCUAUCUGCCGUGGGCGCUGGAGAACUGAGGGGGGCUGCUCCUAGUACGAGAGGACCGGAGUGGACGCAUCACUGGUGUUCGGGUUGUCAUGCCAAUGGCACUGCCCGGUAGCUAAAUGCGGAAGAGAUAAGUGCUGAAAGCAUCUAAGCACGAAACUUGCCCCGAGAUGAGUUCUCCCUGAGACUUUAGAGUCUCCUGAAGGAACGUUGAAGACGACGACGUUGAUAGGCCGGGUGUGUAAGCGCAGCGAUGCGUUGAGCUAACCGGUACUAAUGAACCGUGAGGCUUAACCUUACAACGCCGAAG
rnacentral:rRNA from 1 species